rnacentral:lncRNA from 1 species
UGCUUGCGUAUGCGAUAGAUGAUGUGUCGAUUGACACCUAUCUGUUUGAUGAUGUUGGAUAUGUCAUGGCUGGUUGCAGGUCGAAGUUGCAAUCUCCAAUUUUUUUACUAGCAUCCUUGUCCGAAAAAACUCUUUAAACCUCUCAAAAUACAGUUAAAGAGGCGGUGAAAGAUUUAUUUUCUACCCAGUAAUGUUAUAAGGAUGAAUUCAACGCCCAUUACUUCAACAUAUCUACAUACCUUGGUACAUCAACAAGAAAAUAAUUCAAUUGUUACUCAAAUAAAGUAAGAACUCUCAAAACAUACAUACCAUUGAAAUAAAAAACCCACAUAUGGAUUCUAUUGAAAUAACUGUUUGUAUUGUAUUUCUAGUUUAAAUAUGUUACUUCUGAGAGAUAUAUGUAAUGUUUAUAUAAUUUGUAUCGUGAGUUAAAUAAACCAAAUCUUUGCACAUUUGAUGGAAGUUGAUUCAACUUAUUAAUUAUUAAUAUUAUUCAUGACAUGUUUUUUGAGUUAUGAUUACGUAAACAAUUAGGCUAUUACCUAAUUAAUUGUAUAUAUUUUCCCAUGUGGAAAAAAACAACAAGCCAUUGAAGGAAAAUGAAAAAUAUUGUCAUUAAGAUUUAUACUCAUGAAUUUUGUACAUAUACCCACAUACACAAUAACAACGCCUUUCAGAUCCAAAGGAUCCCUUCAUUUUGGAAUAGAAUUCAAAUCCAUUUAGUUUUAUUCUUUUCUCAAUAUAAUUUGUUUUAUUCUUCACUAAUUUUGACGUGUUUAAGACAGCUCUAUAAUACCAAUUUUUAUAAAUAAAAAUUGUAAAAAUGUCUCGUC